GCCAUCAUCAUCGGACCGCUGACCCAUCUUCAGGAGAGAGAUUUGUAUCAUCCUUGUCAGUCCGUCCAUCUGUUGACGCCACCACGGCGCCCAACUGCGCCACCGCCCCGUGCUCGUCAGUCCAGACGCGAAGAUUAUGGAAGAUCUUUCGUGCGUAGUACCUGCCGACCAGGCAUGACACAACUUAGCACCUGUCGCCCAGGCAUGACUUGACAGCUCCACCGAAAGCUCCGUGCAAGAUGAAGCCGCUCCACCACCAGCCUCUGUCUUCCAGCUCUGCUCCACACACAAUGCUCCCAAGAAAGAAAACGACGUCGCAGUACCG
rnacentral:lncRNA from 1 species